GGGACCCACUUGAACCGGCGAAUUUUACAGUACGGUCGAAAAUAUUUUUUACUAUGUCCACCUUUUUAUUAAGAAAAACAAUGAAAAAAUGGAUAAUAAAGUGAGCAGUUCAUAGUCAUUUCUUGCUAAAAAUUGUAAUAGCAAAAAAUAAAUUUAGGUUUUAUUUUGGCUAGUCGGGUGCGAACAAUUUUAAAGAUUUUACUAACUAGCUUACAAAAAAAAAAUAUUUACGUAAUCUAAUGUGGAUGCUCUAAAAACUAUGAACAAUAACGGGAAUUUGUUAAACGGGUGUGAACAAGGGUUUCAUCAAUCACGUUUUUCAAUUUGAAUGUUGAAAGGGCGAGCCCUAGGUGAACUGUACAUUCGAACUGAAAACAAGUCUUUAUUUUAUUUGGGUUGAAAUUCUCGACAAUAUAAGAGUCAGCAACUUAUUAUUGCAUGAUUUGAAUGACAGAUUAUAUAGCACUCGUGAACGAGACGAUGAAUUCUAUUUGGUUAAUCAUUUUAUAACUCUAAUUAUUGCUUAAAUUCUACUAAAUAAAAAUAACUCAAUCAUAUUCCAUUUUGUAUCUGAAAAUAAAAACUUCAUUUUGAGCCUUAAAAUAUAAAGUUCCACUAAAAAAUAAAAAUGAAACAUUCAUCCUAUUUGUUAGAAUCUAUGGAUGAAAAUAGAGAUUUACAAUGCACAAUACUUAUACAAAGAGAAAAAAAUAGUUUUUAGAUAACUUUUGGAGAUAAAAAUAACUUUGCUUCUGUAUUUAGUGAACUUUUGUCCAAAUUUGAUUUAAAAAUAUUAUAUUUUCAGACUCUCAUGGUCAAUAGAAGCCAGAGAAGUAUAAAAGAAUUGAUAAAAUGAUUAAAAAAAUCACUAAAAAUAAAAAAUAUAUAUUUAUACUAAUUUAAAAACUUCAAUAUGGUCAUGUGCGUGACAUACGACUAGUUUCGUCCAUAAAUUGAAACGAAUAUGGACGGAGAAUUCAUAUUGCAACCGUUUUUAAAAUUUAAUAUUUAAUAUUUUUAAAUUAAAAUAUGAUAGAUGAAAAUAAAAUUUAAAUAAAAAUUGAAGAGUGUAACUACCCUUAACAAAAUAUCGAUGAGACUUUUAAAGUAAAACCAAUAUAAAUAUAUUUAACAAAUUCAAAUAUUAUAAUUUAAAUUUGGAAUUUUUGGCCACACUCUUCUUAAGGCUCUAACAUUUUGAAUGCGUUUUUUACAUUUUUAAAAUUUAAGUUAACAUUAUAUAAUUCAAAAUAUACUAAAAAAAACUCUCAUAUACCAUGUUAAUAAAUAUCUAACAUUCUAGAAUUCAUCUAAGUAACUAUCUCUUUCAAAAAAUAUAACAAUUAAAAACCAUUAUAGUUGUUCAUAUAUUUAUCAAAAAAUAUUUUUCUCUCUAAUUAAACCCUCCCUUUGUCUCUCUCUCUCUAAUCAAUCCCCUCAUCUCUCUAAACUUGCUAGGCAAUACCAAUCUUCAACACCUUUCUCUCUACGUAAGUGAUACAGAGAGAAACGAUUAUGGAGUGUUUGGAUCGCAUGAUCUACUAUGAAAACGAUAUCGAUGGGAAAAGAUUUGAAGAACGUGAUAGAGAAAACAACAAUUAUGACGAUUUGAAGAAGUUCAAAAGAAAAUAAGACGUUUAUUUUGACUUAACCCAAAUAAUGAGAUUCAAUCCUUAACCUAAUAUAAUUUACAAAAUUAAGCACUAAAUUUAUAUGAUAAAUUUUUUAUAACUUAAUAUUUUAUAAAUCAACCACUAUUUUGAUUAUUAUAAGUUUAUCAUAAUAAAAAUGUUAUGAUUUAGUCAAUGAUUUUACCUAUGAUAAAUAUAUAAUAGUGAAAUAGUAUUUUAAAUUAGACAUCGAGUUUUUUAUGAUAAAGGUAUCAUAACAAAAAUAUUUUAUAAAUCAUAAAAUUCAAUUUUUGUGAAAUGGUUCAAGACUAUGUUAUAAAUUAUCAUAACAGAAUUUUUAAUUAUUGCAGAAUAGUUUCGGGUUAAAAAAUAUUAUUAUUUGAUUUAAAGUAGCGUCGUUUUCCCUUGAUAUCAACAUCUCAAGUGCGUCACAAGUCACCACUCUGGGAUGGUGUUAUUUGAUGCUCCUUAACCACUAUCUAUUAAGCGGUAAUUAGCAAUAUACUUAUGAUUAAUAUUGUCUUUGAUACUUUUUAUAAAUAUAAUUAGUUUUUUUUUCAAGUUAACCAAAAGGUAAAAUAAAUUCAGUAAAGAUAAAAUAAAUAUUAAAAAAUACCCCUAAUUAUGCCUUAUUUUUUACUUUUUGAAUUUUUCUCACGAAGACGAACUUGAAAAAAAAAUCUUAUUGUAUUAAUAUAUGUUCUACUUCUAAUAUUCUUUUAUUUGUAGGCUUAUGCUAAAGUUUUGCAACAAAUUUGUGGGUAUCAAAGAAUAAAGUACUAAAAAAAUGAGAAUUAGCUUCCUAAUAAAGAUGAGAAUUAGCUUCCUAAUAAAGAUGGGAAUUAGCUUGUUGCUUUUUUUCACACCCU
rnacentral:lncRNA from 1 species